GACGAACGCUGGCGGCGUGCUUAACACAUGCAAGUCACGGGGGCCCAGCAAUGGGUAACCGGCGAACGGGUGCGUAACACGUGAGCAACCUGCCGAUCUGAGGGGGAUAGCCGGCCCAACGGCCGGGUAAUACCGCAUACGUUCUUGAGAGGACAUCCUCUUGGGAAGAAACCUCCGGGGCAGAUCGAGGGGCUCGCGGCCUAUCAGCUAGUUGGUGUGGGUAACGGCCCACCAAGGCGACGACGGGUAGCUGGUCUGAGAGGAUGGCCAGCCACAUUGGGACUGAGAGACGGCCCAGACUCCUACGGGAGGCAGCAGUGGGGAAUCUUGCGCAAUGGCCGAAAGGCUGACGCAGCGACGCCGCGUGUGGGAUGAAGCAUUUCGGUGUGUAAACCACUGUUGCCCGGGACGAACAGCUCUUUUCGAGGAGCCUGACGGUACCGGGUGAGGAAGCACCGGCUAACUCCGUGCCAGCCGCCG
rnacentral:rRNA from 1 species